rnacentral:misc_RNA from 1 species
GUGAAUCAUCAAAUUUUUGAACGCAAAUUGCACUCUCCUCGGAGAGUAUGCCUGUUUGAGGGUCAGCCUAUAUAAAAUCGACAUCGUUGCUGUUUCGCGGUGGUGUUCGUCGUAAAUUGGCCAUCUUACAUCCUUUUGGUUUUUAAGCGACUUAAAAUUUUCUUUUUGGUUCCUUGAACGUUUCUAAGUUUUUUUUCUUUACAUGUGUCUGGUAUCGCUUUUUCUUAGACGUGACCACCAUAUCGGAUCGCGUCCAUACUAUAUCUUUUACUGACCUCAGCCAG